rnacentral:rRNA from 1 species
AAUCAACGCUGGCGGCGUGCCUAACACAUGCAAGUCGAACGGGAAAGUGGAGCAAUCCAUGAGUAUAGUGGCGACCGGGUGAGUAACACGUGACUACCUACCCUCGAGUGGGGGAUAACCCCGGGAAACCGGGGCUAAUACCGCAUAACAUCGAGAGAUCAAAGGAGCAAUUCGCUUGAGGAGGGGGUCGCGGCUGAUUAGCUAGUUGGUAGGGUAACGGCCUACCAAGGCGAUGAUCGGUAUCCGGCCUGAGAGGGCGCACGGACACACUGGAACUGAAACCCGGUCCAGACUCCUCCGGGAGGCAGCAGUGGGGAAUUUUGCGCAAUGGGGGAAACCCUGACGCAGCAACGCCGCGUGGAGGAUGAAGUCCCUUGGGACGUAAACUCCUUUCGACCGGGAAGAUUAUGACGGUACCGGUGGAAGAAGCCCCGGCUAACUUCGUGCCAGCAGCCGCCGUAACAC